UACGUAGGGCGCAAGCGUUAUCCGGAAUUAUUGGGCGUAAAGAGCGUGUAGGCGGUCAGGUAGGUCCGUUGUGAAAACUCGAGGCUCAACCUCGAGACGCCGAUGGAAACCAUCUGACUAGAGUCCGGAAGAGGAGAGUGGAAUUCCUGGUGUAGCGGUGAAAUGCGCAGAUAUCAGGAAGAACACCCGUGGCUAAGGCGGCUCUCUAGUACGGUACUGACGCUGAGACGCGAAAGCGUGGGGAGCGAACAGG
rnacentral:rRNA from 1 species